AUGAGGCUCUGCUGUCCUGUGCAGUAGAGGCAGAGGAACAUUUAUUUCUAAUUCAUUUCCUUCAGCCACAGACACAAACUUUGCAAGGCAUGUGACAUUCAUCUGUGGUCGGGCUGGUGUGUGCGCCCUUGGUGCCAUGGCUGCAAAGAACGUUGGGGAUCAUGCACUGCUCAACCACUACCUAUCCCAGUUCAAAGCGGUAAUGCUUUGAAAAGUUGUUGGCUAGAAAGUUAGUAAUGGUUGUCUUCUCGAGCCGAAAAAGAUAUUUAUGCGAUGUACUACCUCAUUUGGCCAUCACUUCUCUUAGGGGUUUCUGGACUGUGUAUGAAUUGCCACUUCAUAGGGUAUGGUCGUGAAGGAAAUCAUCAAGGAUGGAAUACGAUUAGCCAACAAGGGUAGUUGCCCAUUGAUUUUAUCUUAUAUGGAGGCUUUCUGAAACAUAUGUUGAGUUGCUGGAAAUCCAAAACUCAAUGAUGGUGGAAGAGCAUGAUGUCUCAUGUGAAGCUCCAAUCCAAAAUGAGUAAGUUGCAGGACAGUCCACAGAGUGAGUGAGGUUAUGAGAAGCUAUCACCAGACUAUCAUACUAUCAUAUCCAUCUGAUUUAUGGGCUGCAUAUAGGUGGUUAUACCAAUGACCCUAUAAAAAUAGAGAUCUGAAAAUACCUAAGAAUUCUUUUAUUAGAGACGGUACUGUUAUUACUCCUUGGUUGUUGUGACUUGUGAUUAAUGACCUUUUUAUAUAUAAUACAUUGUCAAUGAUGAUGAGGAACUAGCGAGGGCCUCACAAGCAUUGUUGUGUGAAAGUAACACAGUUUUGAAAUAGUGAUUGCUCAGUGGUCAUCAAGGACUGAAUGAAGCUCCACAGAUGAUAGAUAUGGACAACCUACAAUAAUUGGAUCAUUUGGUAAAACUGGAGUACCCAACUCCGAUGCUUGGAUAUUUGUGUAAGCUUCAAGAAUGAUCGUCCAGAAGAAUUGGAUGCUAGGAAACAGUUUUAUGGGGCAACAUUUGCACUGCAUAGGUCAUGCACCAAGCUAGCAAAGUCCCCUACUUAUUGGGCCUUGAUUCUCAUGACCUAUUACAGAUGGCAAUGCAGAAUUUCUGAGUUUGCCACUUGAGAGUCUUGUGUAUGCUGCCAAAUUGGAUAAAUUACGAGGAACACAUGCAAGACCCAGUCAUCGGAAUCUAUGAAAAAAAAAAGUCGGGUCCACAACGCAUAAUAAAGUACACAAUAUUGCAAUGUUUUGGAUGCUGCUCUAUGCACAUCCACCUGUCUUGGCUUUGAUACACAUACUCAUGGGCAGUAUAGGUGCAUGCUGGAUGACUUGGAUUAGUUGGACUUGGAUGGUUAGUCAUAUUUACUUGUGUUUGUGCUUGUUGCUUGAUUCAAUUUGUUUUGUUUUCUAAGUUAGUGAACUUUAGUUUCUGAAUAGAAGUUAUAAGUUGUUGAGUAUCUUUGCUUUUAUGAUUUUAC